rnacentral:ncRNA from 1 species
CGACAAAGGCAAACCUUGCGUGAGCAGGGGACGCAAAGCUAAAGGGUCCCACGUGGAUAGCCAGUUACCGA